UCUAAGGUGCCACGGGUACUCCUUUUCUUUUUGCAAAUUUCAAAACUAUCCGAGUAACCAUUUAGGUUUUUAGAGCACUUACAAGAUUUGAGCUUUAAAACAUAUAAGAUGGCAGGAAUAGAAACUCUGUAGCCGUUUUUUCUAUAUUGGCAUACCCACACUAUAAAAGAGUACAUUUUCCUACAUACGGUUCUCCAUUUGGGCCUCACUAAGAUUUAGUGAGUGCCAUGCACUACUUUGAAUAAAACUUGACAGACUGAGACUAUUUUAACCACUUCUUCAACCCCACAUAGAAACGUUUUUGUUUUUUUUUAAUUGCUGUUUUUUGGGGGCUUAUAUCUCUGUAACCCCUGGUUCAAAUGAUUCAAAAUUUGGGUCACUGGAGCUAUCCUGCACCCUCCUGGGGCAGACAAAAUUUCAAAGAAAUCUGAUGAAGGCCUGGUCUACACUAUAGAGUUAGGUCGACAUAAGCUGCCUUGCAUUGACCUAACUCUAUAAGCAUCUACAUUAAAAUGUCACUUUUGCCGAAGUAACUUGCCUGCUAUGCCAACUUUACUCCACCUCUGCGAGAGGCAGAGUCCUUGGGUCGACGCAGUGUCAGUGUAGACACUGCAUUACUUACAUUGUCUUUCAUAGCCUCUAGGAGGUGUCUUGCAAUACUCCACCUUGACCGCUCUGGUCGCCGUUUUGAGUUCUGCUGCCCAGUGACCAGGUACACAGGUAUAUUCCCCUCUCUUUUAAAUCCUGUGAAAUUUUCAAUUCCAUUUCCUGUCUGCUUGGCAUGGAGAGCUCACCUAUUGACUGCCCAGCUGACUGUGCCAGCUACAUGCUGCAGACGCGCUCCUUCCUGGAAUAUGCAAGAGGUCAUGGUUCUCCGGAGUCUGUGGAGAGAAGAGGGUGUGCAGGGACAGCUCCGAUUGAGCCGUAUAAAUGUCGAUAUCUACAAGCAGAUUGCUUAAGGCAUGGAAGAGAAGAUCCACGAGAGAGUGCUGCGUGAAAGCCAAGGACCUGCAGCAGGCGUAUCAGAAGGCAAGGGGGGCUAACAGUUGCCCUAGUUCAGAGCUGCAUCUGUUUUUACGAAGAGCUGCAUGCCCUCCUCAGCAGAGACCCCACCACUACCCCCAAAAGUCCCAUGGAUGGUUUGGGAGAGCAGGAGUCAUAGGCCUCCCCUAUGAACAGUGACAAAGAGAAGGAGGAAUAUGGGAAACAGGCGACUGGGGGAUCCAGUGGCACAACAAGCCAGGACCUGUUUUUGAUUCCUGGAAGUCGAGCCAGUCCCUCUAGUCCAGCAUGGGUGAGCCUAAUGCAUGGGGAAGGAAUCUCUCUGAUGGAAAUGUGGCCUUGAGGGUGUCUCUGUCUACACCAGUGGAACGGCUCAGCCACUGAAGGAGGAUAAGGAAGAGGAUGUCUGAUGACCUGUUCCAAGAGAUCUGGCAAGCUGCUGGUGCUUCAGAUACGAAGCACUAGUCUUGGAGGAUCACCCUGGUGGACAGAAUGGACAAAGAUAAAGUGAAGAGAAGAAAAGCACAGGAAAAGGAGAGCUUAUGUCAACCUAACUCUCAAUCUAGCCUCCAAGGAAUCUUCAUGUUCCCCGUGCCGCCUCUUGGGUCUCUGAAAAUACUGCAGGAUCAGGCAUCCUGUGCUCACAAUGCUCAUUGCAGUAGGGGAGAGCUGUACAGCAUCCAUGCCUCUCACACAGAUGGAAGACGCAUGGGUUUGAAGGGCUUUUGAAAAGAGGCACAAAAUGUUAUGGGAUGCAGAUAAAAUUAUGGGAUGGAGAAAACUACAUCACGAGACAUUGAAAUCAUGUUCCCAGUCACCCCUGCGUGACUCGUUUACCCAGAUGAGGCAGUGGAUGCCCUUCCCAAAACACCCUGUGCCAGAUGGUGGCAAGUUGGACAGGAGGAUAGCUACCCCAAGUGCACUGCUCUUUGCAUCGGUGCAAGCGCUAGUAGUGAUGACACGCACCGCUAAUACAAGGAACGUAGCGGGGACAUGCAAAAGCGAUUUAAUUACUGCAAAAAGAAAAGGAGUACUUGUGGCACCUUAGAGACUAACAAAUUUAUUAGAGCAUAAGCUUUCGUGAGCUACAGCUCACUUCAUUGGAUGCAUUUGGU